UGGCAAAGUCCAUCGAACAGAAACUAACAUUCAUACACACCGAUGCACGGCAUCGGGAGCAAUUUGGGGUUUAGUAUCUUGCUCAAGGAUACUUCGACAUGCGGCACCAGGAGCGGGGGAUCGAACCCACAACCUUCCGAUUGAGGAACGACCUGCUCUGCCUCUGAGCCACAGCCGCCGCAGAAGGUGGUGGUGAUAGAUGUGGCCAUACCAGCGGACGCCAACAUCAGAAAGAAGGAACACGAAAAGGUUGAAAAGUACCAAGGGUUCAAUUCAAUUCAAUUCAAUUCAAUUUUAUUUGUAUAGCGCCAAUUCAUAACAGAAGUUAUCUCAGGACACUUUUCAAAUAGAGCAGGUCUAGACCGAACUCUUUAAUAUUAAUUGAAAGAACAGAUGGAGCAGAUGUGGAAGGUCAAGGCGAGUGUGGUCCCCGUGGUAGUAGGAGCACUUGGGGCAGUGACCCCCAAACUGGGGGAGUGGCUCCAACAGAUCCCAGGAACAACAUCAGAAGCCUCAGUCCAGAAGAGCGCAGUCCUAGGAACAGCUAAGAUACUGCGCAGAACCCUCAAACUCCCAGGCCUCUGGUAGAGGACCCGAGCUUGAGGAUGACACAGAUACCACCCCAAGAGGGCUAAAUUGCUUCAGGCGUUGAACGAAGGAAACGUUACACUGCUGUUUGUCUCCUAUCUUUUCCCCAGCGCCAAAAGGAGCCAAAGGACCUUUAAAUGAGCUCUUCAGUCUUUUAUGGUUCUGCGGAUUAGGACUCCUGGGACGAAUAAAAGCAUGUAUCUGCUGGCUGCAGGCCACUUGCGCCCGUGAGCCGGAUCUGCUGAGCUUUUCAGCGUUUUUUUAUUAUUCGGAGCGUGGCUUUUGUCACAGCUGGAUGCUUUGCUUUCAAUUGUCACAGUUUGCUGUGAAGUACAGCAAAAACACUGUGAAUGAAUGAACUAUAUUCAUUACAAGCUGUGGUUGAAUGUGUGCAGCAGUGGGGAGCACAGACUCUGACAGAGGUAGGGGUAAAACUUUAAGAAUAGUCAGUUACUAAAAGAGUUUCUUUCUAUUUCAGCUCAAGUGCAAAACAUCUUUAUGCAACAUUGUGGAUUCGAAUACACCUCCAGAAAUGUGUAGCUCUCAUGCUGGCUAGAGUGUUUUUUUUGUUUGUAUGUUUUACCUUUUUUAAAGGUAAAUUCAUGCUGUGCUAUAUUGGACUCUAUAAGCAUGUUUCACUUGGCUCCACCCCAACAGUGAUGACCCAGCAGGUGUUUUCCAUCGGCUAUCUAAAGUAGAAUAUCUGCUGUGACAUCAGUUUGGUGCAGCAGCAGUUUUCUGGCCUUAGGAAGAAUAUUAAAGUGUGUAUUUGAAAAGAACUCAGACAAAACUCACUGCAGGUGGUUGUGUGACGUACAUAUAAAUGUUUUUCUCCCUUUUCAUUGGUUAAAAUAGCUUCAAGCUUUAAUUUCUGAUCCCCCACUGAGAUAAAUAUGUAAUCAAACCUGACAACUCCAGAUCUCAAAUAAACUGGACUGUGACAACAAUUUUAAUAUAAAGGCUACUUUUCCUAUCAAUAAUGAAUAUAUAUGUCAUAUGAAAGGAGCUUCUUUUAGCUCAUUGUUUUGGUUUUACAACACAUUUACUGUUUGGUUCAGUCUCAGUGUUCUCAUCGAACCAGUUUCCAGCUGCGACUGGCAGCUGUUUUCAGCAAACAAGCUCUGAUGAACACAUUGUACAACAUACAAUAUGCAGCUAGUCCUAGAAACAAAGAGACUAGAAACCAUGUUAGAGACUAGCUGGUGAACAUAAUGGAACAUCUAGCAGCUAAAGAAUCUUGAUUUGAUGGAGACCAAGACAGAGUCUUUAUUGGAGAGAGUGAUUAUUGGACUUAUCAGGUGGACAGAAACACAACUCCAAAUGAACGAAAAUGUCGCUCUGUAACUGCUGGAUGUGUAAAUAAGCAACUAUAUGCUAACAUGUAUAAUAAUAUAGUAUAUCAGUGCAUUAUACUUUCCUGGCUGCCUGUAAUAACAUUUGACCGUUUAGAAACUCUGACUUCCUAUCAGAAAUGAUCAUUCAUGUCCCCAUAAAACAUAAAAGAAUAAAACUGAAUGAAUUAAUCAUGUAAUUGAUAGCAGUAGAUGGUCUUUAUUGGCCUAACAGUCAUCUGAAACCACACCAGCUGACCUUGUAUGAAGAGCAAAAUUAUUUAUUUCUGUAUGUGCAGGAGCAGCGACAAACUCCAGUGGCUCUGAAAAGCUCUCAUUUGCACAGUACUGUCCUUCCAGCUGAGUACACCUCAUGUACACCAGGAUGGGCGCUGGAUAAACAAAAAUUAUACAAACAACCUCGUUUGCAUAAGAAGUCACAUGUGAAAGUGGAUGAUGUCAACACGCGGAUGCAGUCGCGCCCCAUUUACAAUGUAAACAUGUUAUUUAUUUAAUAUUGUGUGUUUAAAUGUGGAAAUUCAUCUUUACAAGUGAAUUAUUGUUGGUAGCAGGUGAAAAUGUUGAAUGUGGAGUAUAAACAAAUGUUCUUAUCUUGAAAAACUGCCUGAUGACAUGAUGUUUGCAUACAAACUGUUGUCAGUUUGAAACCAACUAUGAGAAAUCUUUGUACAAAUCAAAUAACCAAAGGAUAUUUUGAUUAAUGUGUUUAUUGAACAUGAAACAUUUACAUGCUACAGGAGAUAACCAGGAAUGUCAGCAAUACAAAAUCCAUGCUUAUCCUCAGGCAACAGCCGCCGAAUCAAUAAUAAUUCAUAAUGUAAAUAUAAAUGAAGAUAUUACAGAUGUAGUAUCAGGGGUUUGUGGAAGCUGUGAAGCCUGCUGAGCUCGUAAAGGAUGUUUGGUCCUGCAGAAGUGAUGCUGUUUGUGUAAAAAGAAAAAGGAAA